CCCGAAAGAUCGAAUGAGGAGAUUCAAUGUCAGCGUGAUUGGCUAUCAUGUGGUUAUGCGAUGGUUAAGAUUUAUUUUAAUUCACGCUUCCGCUGUGGUUGUGUCCAGUUACGUCGGCGUGCACUUCUCCUUUAGUAGAACGUCGCGACCCGCUGAGUGUUGGUUUAAGGAUUAAGAUUGUCGACUGUACCGUCGCUUUGGCGUUAUGUGUGCAGACUCUUGAAUUCCCAAUCAACUGUUCGGCGGUAUGUAUUAAUGGUAUCGAGCCGCACUUGAAUGCGUUCAGACUUGUCGCAAGCUUGAUCAUAUACCUGGAAUACGGACCUAGUGCCGUAUCUGGGAUUGAUUAAACUGUUGGUAGACAAUGUUCUCGAACUGGCUUAAUAUGCAAUUCAGCGAUACCGGUCGGCGACGCUAUUGCUUUGGGUACUCACAGGA
rnacentral:rRNA from 1 species